UACGUAGGGUGCAAGCGUUGUCCGGAAUUAUUGGGCGUAAAGAGCUCGUAGGCGGUUUGUCGCGUCUGCUGUGAAAACCCGAGGCUCAACCUCGGGCCUGCAGUGGGUACGGGCAGACUAGAGUGCGGUAGGGGAGAUUGGAAUUCCUGGUGUAGCGGUGGAAUGCGCAGAUAUCAGGAGGAACACCGGUGGCGAAGGCGGGUCUCUGGGCCGGAACUGACGCUGAGGAGCGAAAGCGUGGGGAGCGAACAGG
rnacentral:rRNA from 1 species